GAGUCUUUUGGCUAUGAUUAGCUUUGAAUGCUAAUGGACUGACAUCGUCUAUUUUCUCUUAACCGAUUUGUGCAGAUAGUUAAUAAUAUAUCUAACUGCAGUCUGGUUUAGAUGAAAACAUA